rnacentral:tRNA from 2 species
GCCCCUAUAGCUCAAUUGGUAGAGCAAGUGACUCUUAAUCACUAGGUUCUAGGUUCGAGCCCUAGUGGGGGCA